CGGAACAUGUCCUGUAGUGGGGGAUAGCCCGGCGUAAGCCGGAUUAAUACCGCAUACGAUCUACGGAUGAAAGCGGGGGACCUUCGGGCCUCGCGCUAUAGGGUUGGCCGAUGGCUGAUUAGCUAGUUGGUGGGGUAAAGGCCUACCAAGGCGACGAUCAGUAGCUGGUCUGAGAGGACGACCAGCCACACUGGGACUGAGACACGGCCCAGACUCCUACGGGAGGCAGCAGUGGGGAAUUUUGGACAAUGGGCGAAAGCCUGAUCCAGCAAUGCCGCGUGUGUGAAGAAGGCCUUCGGGUUGUAAAGCACUUUUGUCCGGAAAGAAAUCCUUGGCCCUAAUACGGUCGGGGGAUGACGGUACCGGAAGAAUAAGCACCGGCUAACUACGUGCCAGCAGCCGCGGUAAUACGUAGGGUGCGAGCGUUAAUCGGAAUUACUGGGCGUAAAGCGUGCGCAGGCGGUUUGCUAAGACCGAUGUGAAAUCCC
rnacentral:rRNA from 1 species